CCUACGGGAGGCAGCAGUGAGGAAUAUUGGUCAAUGGCCGAGAGGCUGAACCAGCCAAGUCGCGUGAGGGAAGACGGCCCUACGGGUUGUAAACCUCUUUUGUCGGGGAGCAAAGCGAACCACGUGUGGUUCAUUGAGCGUCCCCGCAGAAAAAGCAUCGGCUAACUCCGUGCCAGCAGCCGCGGUAAUACGGAGGAUGCGAGCGUUAUCCGGAUUGAUUGGGUUUAAAGGGUGCGCAGGCGGAGGUGCAAGUCAGCGGUCAAAUUGCGGGGCUCAACCCCGUACUGCCGUUGAAACUGCAUCCCUUGAGUGCGCGAGAAGUAGGCGGAAUGCGCGGUGUAGCGGUGAAAUGCAUAGAUAUCACGCAGAACGCCGAUUGCGAAGGCAGCAUACCGGCGCGCAACUGACGCUCAUGCACGAAAGCGUGGGUAUCGAACAGGAUUAGAUACCCCAGUAGUC
rnacentral:rRNA from 1 species